rnacentral:rRNA from 1 species
CCUACGGGAGGCUGCAGUGGGGAAUAUUGGACAAUGGGGGCAACCCUGAUCCAGCCAUGCCGCGUGUGUGAAGAAGGCCCUCGGGUUGUAAAGCACUUUCAGUGAGGAAGAACGCCUGGUGGUUAAUACCCAUCAGGAAAGACAUCACUCACAGAAGAAGCACCGGCUAACUCCGUGUCAGCAGCCGCGGUAAUACGGAGGGUGCGAGCGUUAAUCGGAAUUACUGGGCGUAAAGCGCGCGUAGGUGGCUUGAUAAGCCGGUUGUGAAAGCCCCGGGCUCAACCUGGGAACGGCAUCCGGAACUGUCAAGCUAGAGUGCAGGAGAGGAAGGUAGAAUUCCCGGUGUAGCGGUGAAAUGCGUAGAGAUCGGGAGGAAUACCAGUGGCGAAGGCGGCCUUCUGGACUGACACUGCCACUGAGGUGCGAAAGCGUGGGUAGCAAACAGGAUUAGAUACCCGUGUAGUC